UCCUUCCCUUCCCCAAACCUAGCCGCCUCAAUCCGCUCCCCUAGCGUGCCUCUCAGCCAUCGGCGAGCAGGCCCUUCCUUGCCGGCGACCAGUGGCGGCCGGUGAUGCAGCCCACAUGAUACAUCCCACUACUCGCCUCCUAUUAUGAGAUACCCUAAAUCUGAGAAAUUCUUUUGCAGCUAAGAUGUAUUUGGGCUACUACGUGAUGCGGAUGUUUGUCGAAAAGCCGCGUCGGCGAGUCAGAGCACGGCGGCGCGGAAGCGGAAGGGCGCGAAAUUCCGUGUAUCCUUGACUAGUGCGAUGUCACUGGAGGUUGAUGCAGCAGCGCAGACGGCACGAUCUGGCGUAUCAAGAAGCCUGAAAUAGAGCUGCAUCAGUAAUAGCAACCUGCAGCAGGACGACCUGCAGAAGAUAAAAACGCAAAUGGGUGCUGAAGUACUUGUAUCUGUUCCAAGGGUACUCGAGAAGAUCUGUCAAAUGUAUGUGCGUUUUUCUGUUUUACAACUUAUUAUUACUCCUUUCUCGUAUCUCUGACACAUAUUAAUAUCCUUCAAUUGGUAUCCUUAUUGUGUCUCUUUUGGUGUGUGCUAGAUCUUCAUGCCUUUGGUCAAUUACAGACAGUUUAUUUUCUAUUUUAUGGCCUCCAAUAGUGCACCAACUAUCACUUUUCCUUGGCAGAGAAUCUGACAUAGCAAAAGAGCGAAUUCAGAAGCUCUCAAGGCUGCUGCUAACAUUGUAUAUACCACCAACGGAAUUGAUGAUAUCUCACUGAAUGUGUUUUUUCAUUAUUCAUGCAGAAGUUCAUUGUCCUACUUUAAAUUUGACUUCGGAUAUAGUUUGGCAUCCUUCCAGUAUAGACUAUUUAUGUAUUUCCUUUAACUAGUCCAUGCUAUUAUUGAUAUAUUUUAUUUAUCUGCUGCUAGUUUUCGUCGGUGGCACAUACAAAAUCUGCCGAAUAAUACUGACAUAAAUGACUCUAACUAGAACUUAUAGUAAUUCCUCCCUCAUUACUUUUACAACUUCAACUUGCUAAAAGCUAGGACUACCAUCACGCUUGUGACUAGAUUUAGAUUCACUUUUUUUUUGCAUCACGUGGUAUAUGCUUGCUUGCAGUUUUGGAAUCUUACCAUGGGAACCAAUGCGAGUUUGAAGUGACAUGGGUCCAUGUUAGUAGUAGUUUCUAAGUUUUCAUUUUAUGUUUUUCAUGUUUUUUAACUGCACAUGUAUCUGCGCCUUAAAAGAAUUUAGAGUUUAAAUGUCUGGCCCUGCAAACCUCAGUUUCUGGUGUGAACUUCUACUUAUGCAUGUUGGAAAAAUUGUAGCUUUCUGAUAAUUUUAUUGACCAUUCCAUCGAUUAGUUAAUUAAGAACUUUGAUAUGCUGUCGGCUGGAUGAUCUAGCUUGAUAAUUAAAUGAUUGUGAUCAUCUAUUUUAUGGAUUGCUCAGAUCCCAUCUUGGUUAUUUCUUAUAUAGAUUUUCUUUUUCAUUUCCAUCUGUGUGGUAGCCACAAUGACGUGUGGUCUGAUGAGCUGAUUUAAAUGCAGUGGAUCGCAAACAUGUCUUAUGCUGAACUAGUUUUGGCAUGCCACCAAGGUUCCAUACAUCAGAAGACUUGCUCAGUCGGAUAUCAGAAUUUGUUGGCAAAUUAGUAGAACCGAUGUAUAUAGGUCUAGGUAGACUAUCAAAUUGUGCUGCAAAAUUGUAAACUUUCUCCUUUUCAGAUAAUUUUCAUGUAUGGAUGGUG